UGCUUUUGAUGGGCGUCGACCGGCGCACGGGUGAGUAACGCGUAUCCAACCUGCCCACCACUUGGGGAUAACCUUGCGAAAGUAAGACUAAUACCCAAUGACGUCUCUAGAAGACAUCUGAAAGAGAUUAAAGAUUUAUCGGUGAUGGAUGGGGAUGCGUCUGAUUAGCUUGUUGGCGGGGUAACGGCCCACCAAGGCGACGAUCAGUAGGGGUUCUGAGAGGAAGGUCCCCCACAUUGGAACUGAGACACGGUCCAAACUCCUACGGGAGGCAGCAGUAAGGAAUAUUGGUCAAUGGGCGAGAGCCUGAACCAGCCAAGUAGCGUGCAGGAUGACGGCCCUAUGGGUUGUAAACUGCUUUUAUAAGGGAAUAAAGUGAGUCUCGUGAGACUUUUUGCAUGUACCUUAUGAAUAAGGACCGGCUAAUUCCGUGCCAGCAGCCGCGGUAAUACGGAAGGUCCGGGCGUUAUCCGGAUUUAUUGGGUUUAAAGGGAGCGUAGGCCGGAGAUUAAGCGUGUUGUGAAAUGUAGACGCUCAACGUCUGCACUGCAGCGCGAACUGGUUUCCUUGAGUACGCACAAAGUGGGCGGAAUUCGUGGUGUAGCGGUGAAAUGCUUAGAUAUCACGAAGAACUCCGAUUGCGAAGGCAGCUCACUGGAGCGCAACUGACGCUGAAGCUCGAAAGUGCGGGUAUCGAACAGGAUUAGAUACCCUGGUAGUCCGCACGGUAAACGAUGGAUGCCCGCUGUUGGUCUGAAUAGGUCAGCGGCCAAGCGAAAGCAUUAAGCAUCCCACCUGGGGAGUACGCCGGCAACGGUGAAACUCAAAGGAAUUGACGGGGGCCCGCACAAG
rnacentral:rRNA from 1 species